rnacentral:tRNA from 1 species
CUGCCGUGGUGGACUGGCGGGGCGGGACUCUUAAUCCGUAGGUUCUCGGUUCGACCCCGAGGCGGGUCACCA